AAUGCUGAGUUUCUAGACAAUAUUGAGAAAGGAGAGGCUGGAAUAUCAUUGCCAGUAUACACAGAACGUGCUGAUAUAGCGGUUGUUUUGCCUGGUAAUAUUCUAGUCGGCAGUGGACCUUAAGAUUCAUGGUUUUGUUGGUAACGCACUACCGGCAGACUUCCCACUCCAUACUUGUGCGCAUAUCUUGAGGGACAGAGACCCAGUGAAGAUGAGAGCGUUAUAUAUUUCUUUGUUGCCUCAUCGCCUUCGUGUGGUCAUCCCGCGUCACCCACGCUAACUUAUGGGAGAGGCAGACACUUACCUGUAGUGAGCACGGGUGUUGAGGAUGAAGCUGGGAGGCCUGGAUCAUAUCGUCCAGGGUGUCGUUCAAGGUGUCUAAGCUGUCCUCGCUGUCCUCCUCCUCCUUACCAGGGCUUUCCUUGUUGUCAGAGACAGUUUCCCCAGUCUCAGAGCAGUUCAGUCCAACAAAUUUCAAGGCUUCAUCAAGGUUGAAGUCAAGAUUGAAGUCUGGUACUGUCUCAUUGAGGGUGAAGGACGGAGAGUUAAGAGGAGACACAGAGUCAAGGGUCA